GACGGUACUUGAGGAAUAAGCCACGGCUAAUUCCGUGCCAGCAGCCGCGGUAAUACGGGAGUGGCAAGCGUUAUCCGGAAUUAUUGGGCGUAAAGCGUCCGCAGGCGGCCUCGAAAGUCUGUCGUUAAAGCGUGGAGCUUAACUCCAUUUAAGCGGUGGAAACUACGAGGCUAGAGUGUGGUAGGGGCAGAGGGAAUUCCCGGUGUAGCGGUGAAAUGCGUAGAUAUCGGGAAGAACACCAGUGGCGAAGGCGCUCUGCUGGGCCAUAACUGACGCUCAUGGACGAAAGCCAGGGGAGCGAAAGGGAUUAGAUACCCCUGUAGUCCUGGCCGUAAACGAUGAACACUAGGUGUCGGGGGAAUCGACCCCCUCGGUGUCGUAGCUAACGCGUUAAGUGUUCCGCCUGGGGAGUACGCACGCAAGUGUGAAACUCAAAGGAAUUGACGGGGGCCCGCACAAGCGGUGGAGUAUGUGGUUUAAUUCGAUGCAACGCGAAGAACCUUACCAGGGCUUGACAUCCUGCGAAUCCCUUGGAAACUUGGGAGUGCCUUCGGGGAGCGCAGAGACAGGUGGUGCAUGGCUGUCGUCAGCUCGUGUCGUGAGAUGUUGGGUUAAGUCCCGCAACGAGCGCAACCCACGUCUUUUAGUUGCCAGCAUUAAGUUGGGCACUCUAGAGAGACCGCCGGUGAUAAACCGGAGGAAGGUGUGGAUGACGUCAAGUCAUCAUGCCCCUUUACGUCCUGGGCUACACACGUACUACAAUGCUACGGACAAAGGGCAGCAAACUCGCGAGAGCUAGCAAAUCCCAUAAACCGUGGCUCAGUUCAGAUCGUAGGCUGCAACUCGCCUACGUGAAGGAGGAAUCGCUAGUAAUCGCAGGUCAGCAUACUGCGGUGAAUACGUUCCCGGGCCUUGUACACACCGCCCGUCACACCAUGGAAGUUGGCCACGCCCGAAGUCGUUACUCCAACCCGCAAGGGAGGAGGAUGC
rnacentral:rRNA from 1 species